CAAAACGUAGCUUAGAUUAAAGCAUCUGGCUUACACCCAGAAGACCUCAUAAUAAUGAUCGUUUUGA
rnacentral:tRNA from 1 species